rnacentral:rRNA from 1 species
CUCUGUUUACAAGCUAGCGCCACGGGAGGAGCCCGCGCCCCAUUAGCUAGUUGGUGAGGUAACGGCUCACCAAGGCAACGAUGGGUAGCCGGCCUGAGAGGGUGAUCGGCCACACUGGAACUGAGACACGGUCCAGACUCCUACGGGAGGCAGCAGUGAGGAAUAUUGCGCAAUGGGCGAAAGCCUGACGCAGCGACGCCGCGUGGAGGAUGAAGGUCUUCGGAUUGUAAACUCCUGUCGUGCGGGACGAAUGCCUCGGUCGCUAACAUCGGCCGGGGUUGACGGUACCGCAGGAGGAAGCCCCGGCUAACUCCGUGCCAGCAGCCGCGGUAAUACGGAGGGGGCCAGCGUUGUUCGGAAUCAUUGGGCGUAAAGGGCGCGUAGGCGGCCGAUCAAGUCGAACGUGAAAUCCCCCGGCUCAACCGGGGACCUGCGUCCGAUACUGUUCGGCUAGAGUCCCGGAGAGGGUAGUGGAAUUCCCAGUGUAGCGGUGAAAUGCGUAGAUACUGGGAGGAACACCGGUGGCGAAGGCGGCUACCUGGACGGGUACUGACGCUGAGGCGCGAGAGCUGGGGGAGCAAACAGGAUUAGAU